rnacentral:rRNA from 1 species
GCCUAACACAUGCAAGUCGAACGGUAACAUGACUAGCUUGCUAGUUGAUGACGAGUGGCGGACGGGUGAGUAACGCGUAGGAAUCUACCCAGUAGCGGGGGAUAAGCCAGAGAAAUUUGGUCUAAUACCGCAUACGCCCUUCGGGGGAAAGCAGGGGAUCUUCGGACCUUGCACUAUUGGAUGAGCCUGCGUAAGAUUAGCUAGUUGGUGAGGUAAUGGCUCACCAAGGCGACGAUCUCUAGCUGGUCUGAGAGGAUGAUCAGCCACACUGGAACUGAGACACGGUCCAGACUCCUACGGGAGGCAGCAGUGGGGAAUAUUGCACAAUGGGCGCAAGCCUGAUGCAGCCAUGCCGCGUGUGUGAAGAAGGCCCUAGGGUUGUAAAGCACUUUCAGCAGUGAGGAAAGGUUAGUAGUUAAUACCUGCUAGCUGUGACGUUAACUGCAGAAGAAGCACCGGCUAACUCCGUGCCAGCAGCCGCGGUAAUACGGAGGGUGCGAGCGUUAAUCGGAAUUACUGGGCGUAAAGCGCGCGUAGGUGGAUUGGUCAGUCAGAUGUGAAAGCCCAGCGCUCAACCUUGGAACUG